UACGUAGGGGGGCAAGCGUUUGUCCGGAAUCAUUGGGCGUAAAGCGCGUGUAGGCGGGUCGGUAAGUCCGCUCUGAAAGUCCAGGGCUCAACCCUGGGAUGCGGGUGGAUACUGCCGACCUAGAGUCCGGAAGAGGCGAGUGGAAUUCCCAGUGUAGCGGUGAAAUGCGCAGAUAUCGGGAGGAACACCAAUGGCGAAGGCAGCUCGCUGGGACGUGACUGACGCUGAGACGCGAAAGCGUGGGGAGCAAACAGG
rnacentral:rRNA from 1 species